rnacentral:rRNA from 1 species
GGGGAAUAUUGCGCAAUGGGGGGAACCCUGACGCAGCAACGCCGCGUGAGUGAAGAAGGCCUUCGGGUCGUAAAACUCUGUCAUAGGGGAAGAAAAAGAUGACGGUACCCUAUGAGGAAGCCCCGGCUAACUACGUGCCAGCAGCCGCGGUAAUACGUAGGGGGCGAGCGUUGCCCGGAAUUACUGGGCGUAAAGGGUGCGCAGGCGGCCGAUUAAGUCAGAUGUGAAAUACCAGGGCUCAACUGUGGGGGUGCAUUUGAAACUGGUUGGCUUGAGUGCAGGAGAGGAAAGUGGAAUUCCUAGUGUAGCGGUGAAAUGCGUAGAGAUUAGGAGGAACACCAGUGGCGAAGGCGACUUUCUGGACUGUAACUGACGCUGAGGCACGAAAGCGUGGGUAGCGAAC